GAGGGUAUAGUUCAGUGGUAGGGUGUAUGCUUAGCGUGUAUGCAGUCCUGGGUUCAAUCCCCAGUACUUUCA
rnacentral:tRNA from 1 species